rnacentral:sRNA from 1 species
UCUAUUAGCUAUUGCUUGUUGUAAUUCCAUCUAAAAUCGCUCCUCCACGAACAAUGAUAAUACUUCUCAAUUAU